rnacentral:rRNA from 1 species
GACGAACGCUGGCGGCGUGCUUAACACAUGCAAGUCGAACGGUGAAGCUCCAGCUUGCUGGAGUGGAUCAGUGGCGAACGGGUGAGUAACACGUGAGCAACCUGCCCCUGACUCUGGAAUAAGCGCUGGAAACGGCGUCUAAUACUGGAUACGAGAAGGGUCCGCAUGGGCACUUUCUGGAAAGUUUUUCGGUUGGGGAUGGGCUCGCGGCCUAUCAGCUUGUUGGUGAGGUAAUGGCUCACCAAGGCGACGACGGGUAGCCGGCCUGAGAGGGCGACCGGCCACACUGGGACUGAGACACGGCCCAGACUCCUACGGGAGGCAGCAGUGGGGAAUAUUGCACAAUGGGCGAAAGCAUGAUGCAGCGACGCCGCGUGAGGGAUGACGGCCUUCGGGUUGUAAACCUCUUUCAGCAGGGAAGAAGCGAAAGUGACGGUACCUGCAGAAGAAGCACCGGCUAACUACGUG